rnacentral:rRNA from 1 species
GACGAACGCUGGCGGCGUGCUUAACACAUGCAAGUCGAACGCUGAAGCUCAGCUUUUGUUGGGUGGAUGAGUGGCGAACGGGUGAGUAACACGUGAGUAACCUGCCUCCUUCUUUGGGAUAACGCCCGGAAACGGGUGCUAAUACUGGAUAUUCACUGGUCUUCGCAUGGGGGUUGGUGGAAAGGGUUUUUCUGGUGGGGGAUGGGCUCGCGGCCUAUCAGCUUGUUGGUGGGGUGAUGGCCUACCAAGGCUUUGACGGGUAGCCGGCCUGAGAGGGUGACCGGUCACAUUGGGACUGAGAUACGGCCCAGACUCCUACGGGAGGCAGCAGUGGGGAAUAAUGCACAAUGGGCGCAAGCCUGAUGCAGCGACGCAGCGUGAGGGAUGGAGGCCUUCGGGUUGUGAACCUCUUUCGCCCAUGGUCAAGCCGCAACAAUGGUUGUGGUGAGGGUAGUGGGUAAAGAAGCGCCGGCUAACUACGUG